rnacentral:lncRNA from 1 species
CUUUUCAUUUAUUUUAUUUUUAAAUAAAUUUAGUUAAAACUAUGAAUCAAUUAGAAUUCGAAUUUAUAAUAUCAAAUAUCAAUCAUUAAGUUCUUUGACACUUACGUUAGAGAUAUUUUACUGCUUAAAAUAUUAGGUUAUAUACAACAUAAUUAUACUUUACUCAUGGUGCUUCCUCAAUAUUUAGUAUCAAACCUUUUCAGUAAAGUUGGGCAAUAUACAACUUAAUUAUAUCAUAUUC